rnacentral:rRNA from 1 species
AUUGAACGCUGGCGGCAGGCCUAACACAUGCAAGUCGAGCGUGAAAGUCCUUCGGGAUGAGUAAAGCGGCGGACGGGUGAGUAACGCGUAGGAAUCUGCCUUGAAGUGGGGGAUAACUUGGGGAAACUCAAGCUAAUACCGCAUAGACCUAAGGGUGAAAGAUGGGGAUCUUCGGACCUAUCGCUUCAAGAGGAGCCUGCGUCGGAUUAGCUAGUUGGUAGGGUAAAGGCCUACCAAGGCGACGAUCCGUAGCUGGUCUGAGAGGAUGGCCAGCCACACUGGGACUGAGACACGGCCCAGACUCCUACGGGAGGCAGCAGUGGGGAAUAUUGCACAAUGGGCGGAAGCCUGAACCAGCCAAGUAGCGUGCAGGAAGACGGCCCUCCGGGUUGUAAACUGCUUUUAGUUGGGAAUAAAACGGGGCUCGUGAGCCCCCUUGCAUGUACCAUCAGAAAAAGGACCGGCUAAUUCCGUGCCAGCCGCCGCAGUAA